ensembl:lncRNA
AGAGUCUCAGACCUAAAGACGGGAACUGGAGACAGACUCGAUGAGUUACUGACAUCCAUCUCAGCUCUACAUUCAACUGCACAAACAAUAUUUCAGUUCCUGGGGCUAAAACCCAAGAGUCCACAAUCCUACAAAUUCUGGUUUUGCCUCGGGAAAGAAAGGGGUCUGUGUUGUGCUGUGGACCAGCAGGGAAUCAUGGAUGAGAGGUGCCAGAAGGUGAACUCCUCCUGCAGUAUGAACUGCGUGAGAAACACAGGGAAUAUGUGUGAACCUUUACUUGCAGCAGUACUUCAAAAGGUGAGACAAAAGAGCAUCUUUUUGUGUCCCAGCAGAUUUUAUUGCCAUAAAUCAUUUAUUCAGUGUCUCCUAAAAGUGGAAUUGGCUUGAAAAUCUACACGUCUUAAAACUAUUAAUUCACUUUAGGUUUUAUUUUAAUUUUUGUUUAUGAUGCUUGGGAGUUUUAUUUUCUAGCUGUUGUUGAAAAUCAUAAGGGUUAUAAAACUUAAAUUUCCUUAACACAAAAGCCAAAAUUUUCUCCCAGUCUCUUGACUUCAGUAGUUUAGAUCAUCUACUGGGAGAUGCACGACCGUUAAGUCCCAAUGAUUGAUAUAUUUGCCUCUAUGAGAGGACCUUGAGUGAGAAUGAAAAUAAUUCUAGUGUAUUAUGAAUUGUGAAUAAGUAUAGAACCUGUGUUGUCCUAAGUCCCUUUUGAGCUGCUCAUAAAAACAGGCCUUAAUGCUAUAUGAAUAAAUCAGCUGGGGAUUUUUUUCCUCUGGAUAAAUCUUUGUGUCAGAGAAGAAUGUAAUCUAUGUAUCUAAGAGAGGCAAUGAUGCUAUGUACCAUUAUGUUAGAAGUUACAUUCUUGUAUACUUUCAAAUGGCCAUGAUCUGCUCUGUAAUGGACUUUGAGGCACAGACAACUUCUGGGCUCAGCAUCUGACUUACUUUUGUUGCCUGGUUUCAAACUAGAUGAUGCUUUUGAUAUACUAUGAAAACUGCAAACAACAACAGAAACAAAUAAACCCUUCCAUGUCAGUUCCUAGAGACAGAUGUUGGCAAUUAUCAGAAACAUAAGAUGCAGAAAAAAGUCCACGGGAAUCAGAGAAUCGUGUUGUUCUUGAAAGGUUGCAUAUCACCAUUUAUUGUUAAAAAUUCUGAUAGAAAACUACCAUACCCCUGAGUUUUUGGUGUGAGUAUGCAGUUUGCAUAGGUUAGAUGGCCAACUUGCUGCCAUCAGUAGUCUGUGCUGUAUUUUUCCUUAGAUUAGUAAAACAGAUGUGCUUUGCAUAGUUCUGAGUUGGAUUUUAAGAGGCAGAGAAAAUUGGCAAAACAUAAAAGACUUCAACUAGCUGUAUAUCAACUCAUCUAUAGCACAGUACAACAAAGCAGAGAGAUGUUUUAUUAACAUUUCAAGUGGUUCUUGUUCCACUGUUCUAAGAAGAGGCUAUUCUUUAUUUAACCUUUGUUGAGGUAGGAGUGAUCUCAAGAAGCAACAGUGGUACGGACACCAAAUACAAGAGGACACAUCUUCAUUGCAUUUAGCAAUAAAGGAUGUCAUAGAAUGAAGGUAAGUAUUAAGAGCUGGCGCAGCCUAAAAGCCCCUCAAAUUAAAAAAUAAAGGAUGCAAACCUCUCAUAGAUGAACAUGCCAGGAAGGUAGCAUUAGGAAAGUAAUGUAGUAAAGUUUGUCUCUGAACAAAGAAAGCUCUUUGAAAGUAAAAAUAAAGAGAGAUAGCAAAGCAAUAAACACAAUGGAGGCUUCAAAAGAACCCACCAAAAAUGAUUAUAUCAAAUCAGAAAAGAUUAAAUAUUUUAAGGUGCAGAACAGAUCAGAGGCUUCUUAAAGAUAGAAAAAGUGAAGUCUAUGAGGAAAUUAGGAUGCUAAGAAGCAAAGAUGCGAAUUAAUGAAAAUGUGUAUACCACCAUUUAAAGUGGAAAAUGAAAUAUGGUAUUCUAGGGCCAGCCAAAAUAUUUGGUACUAAUAAUACUUUAACUUUUUAUUAGCUGAAAUUAAAAUAUAGAAUAUGUUACACCUGAAAAUUCAUGAUAUGAUUGAAUUUGCCAUCACAGUUACGCCAGAGGGGGAAAAAGAAACAACAAACAAACACAAAAACAAAACAAACAAAUAAACAAAAAAAAAAAAAAACACAAAACAAAACAACACACACACAGAAAAGCCUAACCUACUAAUUACUUAAACUUCUUUGAAUGUGAGAAUAAAAGUAGUAGAGAACAGGAAUUCAAUGAUGGGAUAUUUGAACAUCAAGAAAGUCUCUGACUUGUACUCAGCUGAGUGGAGUUAAGUGUUUUACUGGAAUAGUUAGACUUAUGAUGGUGCUGGAGCUAGCCCAAAUGGAUCUAGCUCAAAUAUCUACAUUGGAAGAAUGUUUUGUGAUACAGUGAAAAAAUUACAUUUUGAAUCCAUCUGUUCUGUGAAAAUAUAUUGGUUCACUAAGAAGGUUUUGCAGUUUUGUUUUGUAGAAAUUGUCAUUUUCUUUGCACAGAAUAUGGCUAAAUACUGUUCAUCCAGGAUAAAGAAGAAGGAGGAAAGAGACCAAACUGAAGAUA